rnacentral:rRNA from 1 species
UACGUAGGGGGCUAGCGUUGUCCGGAAUCAUUGGGCGUAAAGAGCGUGUAGGCGGUCCGGUAAGUCCGUUGUGAAAGUCAAGGGCUCAACCCUUGAAUGCCGGCGGAUACUGUCGGGCUAGAGUCCGGAAGAGGCGAGUGGAAUUCCCGGUGUAGCGGUGAAAUGCGCAGAUAUCGGGAGGAACACCUAUGGCGAAGGCAGCUCGCUGGGACGGUACUGACACUGAGACGCGAAAGCGUGGGGAGCGAACAGG